GAUUGAUUGUGGGGGUUUCUGUCCCCCGGAAGCCAGCUUUUCGGGGCUCCGGGGCUCGCCUGCUCUUCCAAAGAGAAAAAGGACAAAAGGCCGGCGUCCAUGUUGGCAUCAUGACGCAGCAUCUCUCUCCCGCCUGCAGCCUGGCGCUGCUUGUCCUCCGGGCCGCGCUCGCUCCUCCCUCUCAAACACGAGUUUUAUUUUCAGGUUUUUGAGCCGAGCCGAGGGCUGGGUCGGGUUGGAGCCAAGGCUGAAGCCGCCGGGCCAUUCAAUACUGCUCUCUGGCUAAUGGCGGCCGGCUUUCCUCCUUCCUUCCGCCAUCCUGCUUUUCCCUGGUUGUCGCUGGGAGCCGAGAGGCAGCCCCGGGCCCUAACAGCCUGCCAGGUCUUGGCCGGAGACCGGAGCCAUGUCUGUGUUAUCCCCACUGUAGACAAUCCUUGCUUCCUCUGGACAUCUGGAGCAGGCCCAAUUUGACUGAGAGCCUUCCCCCACUAAGAAGUGAAUUCUCCCCUUGGCAAACUGCAGCCAGCCAGCCUCCUGGGUCGAGAGCCAAGCCAAAAGAUGUCUGAGAGAAGAAACCUGGGGUCCUGCAAAGGUAAGUGGGUCCCAGCCCACUCUCAAUCCCCCUCUCUCUG
ensembl:lincRNA AI480526 expressed sequence AI480526